rnacentral:rRNA from 1 species
CGCGACCCCAGGUCAGGCGGGAGUACCCGCUGAGUUUAAGCAUAUCAAUAACGGAGGAAAAGAAACUUACAAGGAUUCCCCUAGUAACGGCGAGCGAACCGGGAAUAGCCCAGCUUGAAAAUCGAGCGGCCUCGUCGUUCG